CCGGGAGCCCCAACCCGGCCCGUGUGGUGGGCUCUGGUGUUCCUCGCUGGCCAGGACUACAGGUGGUGGUCUGAAAGAAUGACGUGAUGACGUGAUGACGUGAACGCUUUGAUGACUUUGACUUCACAAGGACAGACCAUGACCCUGCCAAGCCUUUCAGCUAUCUACUUCCUGAGCAAUGAAGCCUGAGGUAAUGAGCUUUUAGAUUUAAACCAGAUUAGAUCUAAGACGAACGUGACCGUUGCUGUCUUGAAUCAGCCACAGGAGAGGUUCAUGGAACUAGGCCUAUUAAUAUCCCCUCAUGAGGAAAAGGUCCAUAUUCAGGAGCAAGUUGACCAGGACUCUUCCAUUAUUGAAGCUUCCCAUAAGUGACCCAAGGACUCCUCAGUGGUGUGGGUUCUUUGUGAAUCAUCCCUGCUACAGGUGAGACUUUUAAUUUGGUAUAGUUGCCCAUUAAACUGCCCAAGGGACUUCCUGGUGAUGUAACUGCCUUGAGUCACCCAUGUACCUAUAAGUGGCCUCAAUAAAUUCAAUGGUUCACCAAGCUGAA